rnacentral:snRNA from 1 species
UCUAAUCAUUCACUCAUACAA